UAUUUUAUUAGUAUAAUUAGUACAGCUAAUUUCCAUUUAGAAAGUUUUUUAAAAAAUAAAAUAA
rnacentral:tRNA from 1 species